rnacentral:rRNA from 1 species
GGACGAACGCUGGCGGCGUGCUUAACACAUGCAAGUCGAGCGGUAAGGCCCUUUUGGGGGUACACGAGCGGCGAACGGGUGAGUAACACGUGGGUGACCUGCCCUCAGCUCUGGGAUAAGCCUGGGAAACUGGGUCUAAUACUGGAUAUGACCUUUCUCGCAUGGGUUGGGUGGAAAGUUUUUCGGCUGGGGGAUGGGCCCGCGGCCUAUCAGCUUGUUGGUGGGGUGAUGGCCUACCAAGGCGACGACGGGUAGCCGGCCUGAGAGGGCGACCGGCCACACUGGGACUGAGACACGGCCCAGACUCCUACGGGAGGCAGCAGUGGGGAAUAUUGCGCGAAUGGGCGGAAGCCUGACGCAGCGACGCG